rnacentral:rRNA from 1 species
AAAAUGACUCUCAGCAACGGAUAUCUUGGCUCUUUGCAACGAUGAAGAACGCCAA